UACGUAGGGGGCAAGCGUUGUCCGGAAUCAUUGGGCGUAAAGCGCGUGUAGGCGGCCCGGUAAGUCCGCUGUGAAAGUCGGGGGCUCAACCCUCGAAUGCCGGUGGAUACUGUCGGGCUAGAGUGCGGGAGAGGCGAGUGGAAUUCCUGGUGUAGCGGUGAAAUGCGCAGAUAUCAGGAGGAACACCAACGGCGAAGGCAGCUCGCUGGGACGGUACUGACGCUGGAGGCGCGAAAGCGUGGGGAGCGAACAGG
rnacentral:rRNA from 1 species